AAGUGCAAGUGCCAGGGACCGCCUCUUCUACCUCCUCCACCAGCCCCUCCUCUGCAGAUGAAGACUUUCAUCCCCAGCCUUCCUUGCGGUCAAAGGAGAGGAAGACACUCAGAAGAAGGAAGCUGGAGAAAGCCACAAAACAAUUGGUUAAGCAAGAAGAAUUGAAAAGACUUCAUAAAGCUCAGGCCAUCCAGAGGCAGCUGGAGGAGGUGGAGGAGCACCAGAGGGCUUCGGAGAUCCAAGGCGUGAGGCUGGAGAAGGCACUGAGAGGAG